rnacentral:rRNA from 1 species
UACGAGGGGGGCAAGCGUUGUUCGGAAUUAUUGGGCGUAAAGGGUGCGUAGGCGGUCGGGUAAGUCUGAUGUGAAAUCUCACAGCUUAACUGUGAAACUGCAUUGGAUACUAUCCGGCUCGAGGAAUGGAGGGGAGACUGGAAUACUUGGUGUAGCAGUGAAAUGCGUAGAUAUCGAGAGGAACACCAGUGGCGAAGGCGAGUCCCUGGACAGGUCCUGACGCUGAGGCACGAAAGCUAGGGGAGCAAACAGG